rnacentral:SRP_RNA from 1 species
GCCAGGCAUGGUGGCAGAUGUCUGUAGUUCCACCUAUUCAGGAGGCUGAGAUGGGAGGAUCACUUGAGUCCAGGAGUUCUGGGCUGUAGUGCAGCUAUGCCAAUCACGUGUCCGCACUAAGUUCGGCAUCAAUAAGGUGACCUCCUGGGAGUAGGGGACCACUAGGUUGCCUAAGGAGGGGUGAACCAGCCCAGGUCGGAAAGGAAGCAGGUCAAAACUCCUGUGCUGAUCAGUACUGGGAUUGUGCCUAUGAGUAGCCACUGCACUCCGGCCUGGGCAACAUAGCGAGACCUCUUCUCU